rnacentral:misc_RNA from 1 species
CAUCUGCUUCAAUAAUUCCCCAAGAGAAGCACUCUCCUUGUGGGUUCGCGGGUAUCCUGUGUUGCUUACCAAAGAAACGGAAUUUGAUAGUGUUGCAUGUUUGGAUCCGCCUUGUGCCUUUCGGGGUGCGGGGUGGACAUGAGGCAAGCACUGUGAUCCCAGCAUGUCGAGUGCCUUUGCGAUCGAUUGUUGUGGCCCAUGGUGUCUCUGCUUGUUCUCUCGGAUGCGGUAAGCUAUGCGUGGGCGUGAGGUCUCGGCCAAUCGUCCAGGCACUGUCCCUUGACUCGAAUGACUGCUGCGCCCAUCUUGAUCCUCCUGACCACGACCUCAUAUUGGGGCCUACUGGACGAGGGGGGGUCAUGUGGGUGGUGGCAUCAAAGAGGAAAGC